rnacentral:rRNA from 1 species
AACGAACGUUGGCGGCGUGGAUUAGGCAUGCAAGUCGAACGCGUGAGAGGGGCUUGCUCCUCAAGCGAGUGGCGAACGGGUGAGUAACGCGUGGGAAACCUGCCCCGAAGCGUGGAAUAACACUCCCAACGGGGUGCUAAUACCGCAUGGUAUCGCCGGGUGGCAUCAUUUGGCGAUUAAAGGUGGGGACCGUAAGGCCUGCCACUUUGGGAUGGUCCCGCGUCUGAUUAGCUUGUUGGUGAGGUAACGGCUCACCAAGGCGACGAUCAGUAGCUGGUCUGAGAGGAUGGUCAGCCACACUGGGACUGAGAUACGGCCCAGACUCCUACGGGAGGCAGCAGUCGAGAGGCUUCGGGCAAUGGGGGAAACCCUGACCGAGCGACGCCGCGUGAGCGAUGAAGCCCUUCGGGGUGUAAAGCUCUUUUGUGAGGGAAGAACUGCAACGGCCUAAUACGCUGUUGUUUGACGGUACCUUACGAAUAAGCUCCGGCUAACUCCGUGCCAGCAG